rnacentral:rRNA from 1 species
GUCGAGCGGAUGAAGAGAGCUUGCUCUCUGAUUCAGCGGCGGACGGGUGAGUAAUGCCUAGGAAUCUGCCUGAUAGUGGGGGACAACGUUUCGAAAGGAACGCUAAUACCGCAUACGUCCUAAGGGAGAAAGCAGGGGACCUUCGGGCCUUGCGCUAUCAGAUGAGCCUAGGUCGGAUUAGCUAGUUGGUGAGGUAAUGGCUCACCAAGGCGACGAUCCGUAACUGGUCUGAGAGGAUGAUCAGUCACACUGGAACUGAGACACGGUCCAGACUCCUACGGGAGGCAGCAGUGGGGAAUAUUGGACAAUGGGCGGAAGCCUGAUCCAGCCAUGCCGCGUGUGUGAAGAAGGUCUUCGGAUUGUAAAGCACUUUAAGUUGGGAGGAAGGGCAUUAACCUAAUACGUUAGUGUUUUGACGUUACCGACAGAAUAAGCACCGGCUAACUUCGUGCCAGCAGCCGCGGUAAUACGAAGGGUGCAAGCGUUAAUCGGAAUUACUGGGCGUAAAGCGCGCGUAGGUGGUUUGUUAAGUUGAAUGUGAAAGCCCCGGGCUCAACCUGGGAACUGCAUCCAAAACUGGCAAGCUAGAGUAUGGCAGAGGGUGGUGGAAUUUCCUGUGUAGCGGUGAAAUGCGUAGAUAUAGGAAGGAACACCAGUGGCGAAGGCGACCACCUGGGCUAAUACUGACACUGAGGUGCGAAAGCGUGGGGAGCAAACAGGAUUAGAUACCCUGGUAGUCCACGCCGUAAACGAUGUCGACUAGCCGUUGGGAUCCUUGAG